GGUUGUGAAAAUACUCAUUAUGAUUGGUUGUGAGUACUACAUCCUUAUAUCAUACUCAUUCAUAAAAUAUUGGUACCACCAUGAUAACAUCUGAGAAACACUGGCAAUACCUUUUAUAAACCCUCCCCGAGGAAAGUGUCGGGGAGGAGAUACUGUAACACCUUAUAAAAUCAUUUUCGAGGGAUGUUCCAGAAAGGAUAUAUGAGAUAUGUGGAUUUCAUAUGGGUUGAUGAACCCCCAUGGGUACUGCGUUG
rnacentral:lncRNA from 1 species